CGGCUGGAGAAAUCAGAGGGAGUUAUGUUCCAAUAUUUUCAUAUUUGACCGGGUGCAUGGCGGGUGAGGUCGUGCGAGUGUCGAAACGCCUGAGAACGUCCCGCUCCGAUUCAUUACUCAAAAAGCCGCGGACACAACAUAAAAAAGAAAAAAGGCGCUCUGCGGUUGGAUUGAAUAGGCCCACCGCUCGGAACAAUCCGCUCAAUAUAACGCAUUGUCCGAAGCCAUUAUCUUCAAGCGGCGAACGCACACAACAGACGCGUGGAACAAAGCGGCAGCAAAGGGAAGAAAAAAAAAAAAGAAAAAAACACUUUUAACUGGCUGCGUGUGAUAAGCUCGUUCGAAUUUCCACUUUAUUAUCAAUUUCCAUUCCAGACAAUGUGCCGGAUUUCAAAAGGAAUAAACAAGAGAGAGAUGUC